GGUAUUUUGACUAUACAAAGGUAUUGAAAUAAGAUUUUAAUUGAAUGCUAAGAGAAUGGAAAUACAGGAAAAAACUUUUUUUAAAUUAAAAAUUGAAAUUUUUUUAAUUUGUGCAGAAACAAUUAUUAAUAUUAAGGACAAGAAGACCCUAUGAAUUUAUUAAAUUUUAUUUAAUAUGUAAUUACUAUUAGAAAAAUUUUGGCUGGGGCGGCUAAAAAAAAUUUUAAACUUUUUAAAAAUAAAAUGAUCCAUUAUUAAUGAUUAUAUGUUAAAUA
rnacentral:rRNA from 1 species